rnacentral:rRNA from 1 species
AUUGAACGCUGGCGGCAUGCCUUACACAUGCAAGUCGAACGGCAGGCACGGGGGCAACCCUGGUGGCGAGUGGCGAACGGGUGAGUAAUGCAUCGGAACGUGCCCAGUAGUGGGGGAUAACUAGUCGAAAGAUUAGCUAAUACCGCAUACGACCUAUGGGUGAAAGCGGGGAUGCAGCACUUAAUGUUUUGGGAUGGCUACUUGUGGCCGCCUCGGGACAGUCUCAGGUUGAGAACAUUAAGUGCUGCACCUCGCGCUAUCGGAGCGGCCGAUGUCUGAUUAGCUAGUUGGC